rnacentral:rRNA from 1 species
UACAGAAGUCUCAAGCGUUGUUCGGAAUUACUGGGCGUAAAGGGUGCGCAGGCCGCGCGGGCAGUCAAAUGUGUAAUUCAGGGGCUCAACCCCUGCACUGCGCUUGAUACUUCCGCGCUCGAGCUUUGGAGAGGAGUCUGGAAUUCUCGGUGUAGCAGUGAAAUGCGUGGAUAUCGAGAAGAACACUUAGGGCGAAGGCAAGACUCUGGACAAAUGCUGACGCUCAUGCACGAAGGCUAGGGUAGCGAACGGG